rnacentral:rRNA from 1 species
AUUGAACGCUAGCGGCAUGCCUAACACAUGCAAGUCGAACGAGUGGCGGACGGGUGAGUAAUGUAUAGGAACGUGCUCAGUGGCGGGGGAUAACUACUGGAAACGGUGGCUAAUACCGCAUACCAUCGGAUUAGCCGAUAUUGGAUUAGCUAGUUGGUGGUGUAACGGCUCACCAAGGCAACGAUCCCUAGCUGGUCUGAGAGGGUGACCAGCCACACUGGGACUGAGACACGGCCCAGACUCCUACGGGAGGCAGCAGUGGGGAAUUUUGCACAAUGGGCGAAAGCCUGAUGCAGCCAUGCCGCGUGUAUGAUGAAGGCCUUCGGGUUGUAAAGUACUUUUAGCAGGGAAGCGGUACCUGCAGAAGAAGCACCGGCUAACUACGUGCCAGCAGCCGCGGUAAUAC